UUCGGCGGCGAUGGCGCGGAGGGAACACCCGGCUCCAUCCCGAACCCGGAAGUUAAGCUCCGCCGCGGCGAAGGUAGGGGGGGAACCCCUGAGAAUAGCGCGCUGCCGAGC
rnacentral:rRNA from 1 species